AGCAGCCGCGGUAAUUCCAGCUCCAAUAGCGUAUAUUAAAGUUGUUGCAGUUAAAAAGCUCGUAGUUGAAUUUCGGGGUCAGUAGGUUGGUCGUGCCACUGGUACGUACUGGCCUCACUGAUUCCUCCUUCCUGGUGAGCCGUAAUGCCAUUAAUUUGGUGUUGCGAGGAAUCUGGACUGUUACUUUGAAAAAUUAGAGUGUUUAAAGCAGGCUAACGCUUGAAUACAUUAGCAUGGAAUAAUGAAAUAGGACGUUUGACCUUAUUUUGUUGGUUUCUAAGAUUGACGUAAUGAUUAAUAGGGAUAGUUGGGGGCAUUAGUAUUCAAUUGUCAGAGGUGAAAUUCUUGGAUUUAUUGAAGACUAACUACUGCGAAAGCAUUUGCCAAGGAUGUUUUCAUUAAUCAAGAACGAAAGUUAGGGGAUCGAAGACGAUCAGAUACCGUCGUAGUCUUAACCAUAAACCUAUGCCGACUAGGGAUCGGAUGGAUGUUGAUUUUUUAAUGUACUCAU
rnacentral:rRNA from 1 species